rnacentral:rRNA from 1 species
UACAGAGGAUGCAAGCGUUAUCCGGAAUGAUUGGGCGUAAAGCGUCUGUAGGUGGCUUUUUAAGUCCGCCGUCAAAUCCCAGGGCUCAACUCUGGACAGGCGGUGGAAACUACCAAGCUGGAGUACGGUAGGGGCAGAGGGAAUUUCCGGUGGAGCGGUGAAAUGCGUAGAUAUCGUCAGGAAUGCCGGUGGUGAAGACGGGUGACUGGGCUGGUUCUGACACUGAGGCACGAAAGCGUGGGGAGCGAACGGG